GGUCCAAUGCCUCAUUAUACAGAGACUUGGCUGUCAGCACUGCACCACUGGAGGGUCUACCACGUGUUCUAAAUUGGUUAGACAUUAUUCCCAUUUGAAUUGCCUUCACUCCUGAGUCUCUGAGUGUCAGGUUCAAGCUGCUGACCGACGAGGUUCCUUAUGCUUGCGAACCAGUUAGAUUCUAUACACAUAUGAAUCUUCCCCAUAUUCGAAUAUCUGAAUGUCAGACUCAAGCUGAUGAUAUAUGAGGUAUGGUCCCCGCUGUAUCAAUCAAGUCCCAUUGAAAUAUUAAAACGUUGUUCAUACAUCUUUGAAUGACCUUUUAUGUGCUGACAAUAUGUUCUGAAAUGAAGAGAUUUUACCCCUGAUGAAGUCUUGGAACAAGACGAAACGCGUUGGGUUAUUUAUCUAUCUAUUAUCUGAUGUUACCUCCG